GACGAACGCUGGCGGCGUGCUUAACACAUGCAAGUCGAGCGGUAAGGCCUCUUCUGGGGUUCACGAGCGGCGCACGGGUGAGUAACACGUGGGUGACCUUCCCUCAUCUCUGGGAUAAGCCUGGGAAACUGGGUCUAAUUCCGGCUAUGACCACAUGUUGCAUGGUGUGUGGUGGAAAGUUUUUUCGGCUGGGGAUGGGCCCGAGGCCUAUCAGCUUGUUGGUGGGGUGAUGGCCUACCAAGGCGACGACGGGUAGCCGGCCUGAGAGGGGGACCGGCCACAAGGGGACUGCGGGAGGGAGCAGACUCGAACGGGAGGCAGCAGGGGGGAAUAUUGCGCAAUGGGCGGAAGCCUGACGAAGAGACGCCGCGUGGGGGAUGACGGCCUUCGGGUUGUAAACCGCUUUAGACCGGGACGAAGCGUAAGUGACGGUACCGGUAGAAGAAGCACCGGCCAACUACGUG
rnacentral:rRNA from 1 species